UUUUCAGUGAAAAUCUGGUAUUUUCCUGUAUUUAAUUCACUGAUUAUGUAGAUGUUCAUAAAAGCUCAGGUUAAAACUGAGGGUUAUUAUAUUAAAAACAGAAAACUGAAGAAAAUGUGACUUGUUCAACAUAAUUUAUCAUCUACUGAACAUAAACCAAAUGUCUCCAUCCACUCAUUGAUUAAACUGCAUGGGUUUUACUGGUGAAUCAAUGUUCGAGAAGAUUACAGUGUUUCCACGUUCACUAUGGAGCCUCUGAACAUCCAAAUGGGUCAUCAGUAAAAUGUUUGGGUCUUUAUGGGUUAAGAAACAUCUUACUGACAUUUUCCCGGUUCAGACGGAUUAUCUCUUAAGGUGACCUAGAUGUGGAUGAAGACCAUUUGUCAUUGUGAUGGGUAAAUGAAGAUCCUGCUAGUGAAAAUAAUGACAUAUUUUGUUAAAAUAAGGUAUAAAAUGCCUUUCUUCAAAUAACUAUGCAUAGAUACCAAGUUAUUACGUUAAGAAACAAAGUCAUUUUGUUUUUGCAGGACAGUUUUUCUCAACACAAUGAUGUAAACAAAACAGGAUUCUACACACCCAGUAUUUAUCCCAUGACACUUUCCAUCCACAAUGGAAUCACCACCAUAUUCUGAUUUUUAAACUUGGAUGGAAGUCAAGGGAACAGAAAUAAAACCACAAUGGCAAAGUGAACAUCAUGAAGGGAUGUUCUAGCCUUAUGUGUGCCUUGUUGUUUCCUAUGCAGCCUCAUCCAUUCCACUCUUUCAAUCACUCACGGGGAACUUUAUCGCCUCUGCAGGUGUGUUUCACUUUUCAGAUGAUGUUCAAUGACCACACCGAAGGGAAAAAUGGAUAUUUUGCAGUGUACUUUUUUUUUUCUUAGCACAGAGUAAAUGGUAAAGAGUUAUUCCUUUACAUCCCUUUGCAUCUUUGCUUUGAUGCCCCCUCUUCUCUCUUUCCUUUUUUCUAUGUCCACUCAGAAUGUUUUAGUCAACAUUCAGUUCAUGAAGUAUGUGAUGUGGGAAAUAAAUGUGAUCAUUUAUAUCCUCCUGAGACCCAGGAAAGCAAGCUUUGAGGCUUUUUUUUUUUUUAAUUAAAUAAUUGGCUUGAUUGGAAACAGCAUAAUGCAAGAGUAUGUUUUUUUUCAGAUUUUUUUAAUGGAAUGUCCUUCACAGUGGACUUUUUUAAGUAUAAAAAAAUGCAUUGCUGGCUCUCAGGAGGAAAUACCAGGAGAGAAUGCACAUGAAAAUAGAAUAAUAAAAGAUUUUAAGUGCUGACAGUAAGGAAAGGGAGUUGAGGGGUCUUAUGCUUUCAACGUGGACUUGUAUCAGAAUUAAUGUGGACUUGAAUAAAAGUUAUUUUUCUACACACA